rnacentral:tRNA from 1 species
AUUUAGAUAGUUUAUUAAAAAAUAUUAGUUUGUGGUGCUAAAGAGGUAUAUAUAAUAUACUCUAGAUA